GUUGAUAGUGUAAACAUUGGUAGCAAUAGCGUUAUCGAUUCAAAAAUAAACCAAGCGGAAAGUAAUAAGCCAACAUACUUAUAGGGGGUGUUUUAAAAUACUCAUGAGUUACCUUUUUCAUCUUUUUUUCUCUUUAAAGAACCUGUCUUCAACCAGUUUUGUAACGACAUUAAGAUUUGUUUCAAUUUUUUUAUUUUUAUUUGUAUUCGGAACACUUACUUUUUUACCGUCACCACUAUGGUAAAAGCUGCAAUCGCUGCUGCAGACUGGACACUGUAUGUAGUGUGCCGGUAGAUAAUUUGAAACUGGAAACUCGCAUAUUGAUAAUGUAAAAUACAUAAUUAAAAAAAAAAGACACUUCGAAAGUUUGGUCGUCGUUUCAAAAGUGAGGCAUUUGCCUCAUUUGCCUCCAUUACGCUACGG
rnacentral:lncRNA from 1 species